rnacentral:rRNA from 1 species
CCUACGGGUGGCAGCAGUAGGGAAUCUUCCGCAAUGGACGAAAGUCUGACGGAGCAACGCCGCGUGAGUGAAGAAGGUCUUCGGAUCGUAAAGCUCUGUUGUUAGGGAAGAACAAGUAUCGGAGGAAAUGCCGGUACCUUGACGGUACCUGACGAGAAAGCCACGGCUAACUACGUGCCAGCAGCCGCGGUAAGACGUAGGUGGCAAGCGUUGUCCGGAUUUAUUGGGCGUAAAGCGCGAGCAGGCGGUCCUUUAAGUCUGAUGUGAAAUCGUGCGGCUCAACCGCAAGCGGUCAUUGGAAACCUGGGGACUUGAGUGCAGAAGAGGAAAGCGGAAUUCCACGUGGAGCGGUGAAAUGCGUAGAGAUGGGGAGGAACACCAGUGGCGAAGGCGGCUUUCUGGUCUGUAACUGACGCUGAGGCGCGAAAGCGUGGGGAGCAAACAGGAUUAGAUACCCUUGUAGUC